rnacentral:rRNA from 1 species
UGGGGAAUAUUGCACAAUGGGCGCAAGCCUGAUGCAGCCAUGCCGCGUGUGUGAAGAAGGCCUUCGGGUUGUAAAGCACUUUCAGCGGGGAGGAAGGCGUUAAGGUUAAUAACCUUGGCGAUUGACGUUACCCGCAGAAGAAGCACCGGCUAACUCCGUGCCAGCAGCCGCGGUAAUACGGAGGGUGCAAGCAUUAAUCGGAAUUACUGGGCGUAAAGCGCACGCAGGCGGUUUGUUAAGUCAGAUGUGAAAUCCCCGGGCUCAACCUGGGAACUGCAUCUGAUACUGGCAAGCUUGAGUCUCGUAGAGGGGGGUAGAAUUCCGGGUGUAGCGGUGAAAUGCGUAGAGAUCUGGAGGAAUACCGGUGGCGAAGGCGGCCCCCUGGACGAAGACUGACGCUCAGGUGCGAAAGCGUGGGGAGCAAACAGG